rnacentral:rRNA from 1 species
GGGCCCGCACAAGCGGUGGAGCAUGUGGUUUAAUUCGAUGAUACGCGAGGAACCUUACCAGGGCUUAAAUGUAGUCUGACAGGGGUGGAAACACCCCCUCCUUCGGGCAGAUUACAAGGUGCUGCAUGGUUGUCGUCAGCUCGUGCCGUGAGGUGUCAGGUUAAGUCCUAUAACGAGCGCAACCCCUGCCGUUAGUUGCCAGCAUGUAAUGAUGGGAACUCUAACGGGACUGCCGGUGCAAACCGCGAGGAAGGUGGGGAUGACGUCAAAUCAUCACGGCCCUUACGUCCUGGGCUACACACGUGCUACAAUGGCCGGUACAGAGGGCAGCCACACCGCAAGGUGGAGCGAAUCCUUAAAACCGGUCUCAGUUCGGAUCGGGGUCUGCAACUCGGCCCCGUGAAGCUGGAAUCGCUAGUAA